rnacentral:rRNA from 1 species
AGCGAACGUUUGCGGCGGGCUUAACACAUGCAAGUCGAACGAGAAUCCCUUCGGGGAGGAAAGUGGCGCACGGGUGCGUAACACGUGGAUAACCAACCCAUUGGUUUGGGACAACACCGGGAAACUGGUGCUAAUACCAGAUGUGUUGCAGCUGUCUUCAGGCGGUUGCGAGAAAGGCCCGCAAGGGUCGCCAACGGACGGGUCCGCGUCCCAUCAGCUAGUUGGUGAGGUAAUGGCUCACCAAGGCAAAGACGGGUAGCUGGUCUGAGAGGAUGAUCAGCCACACUGGAACUGAGACACGGUCCAGACUCCUACGGGAGGCAGCAGUGGGGAAUAUUGCGCAAUGGGCGAAAGCCUGACGCAGCCACGCCGCAUGAGCGAUGAAGGUCUUCGGAUCGUAAAGCUCUGUGGGGGGAGAAGAAGAAAGCCGGUGAAGAGCCGGCCCUGACGGUAUCCCCUUAGCAAGCACCGGCUAACUCCGUGCCAGCAGCCGACGG